UACGUAGGGUGCGAGCGUUGUCCGGAAUUAUUGGGCGUAAAGGGCUCGUAGGCGGUCUGUCGCGUCGGGAGUGAAAACUUACAGCUUAACUGUGAGCGUGCUUCCGAUACGGGCAGACUUGAGGUAUUCAGGGGAGAACGGAAUUCCUGGUGUAGCGGUGAAAUGCGCAGAUAUCAGGAGGAACACCGGUGGCGAAGGCGGUUCUCUGGGAAUAUCCUGACGCUGAGGAGCGAAAGUGCGGGGAGCGAACAGG
rnacentral:rRNA from 1 species